GUCCUGGCAGUAAACGGUGCACGUUUGGUGUGGGAGGAUUCGACCCCUUCCGUGCCGGAGCUAACGCGUUAAACGUGCCGCCUGGGAAGUACGGCCGCAAGGUUAAAACUCAAAGAAAUUGACGGGGGCCCGCACAAGCGGUGGAGUAUGUGGCUUAAUUCGAUGCAACGCGAAGAACCUUACCUGGCCUUGACAUGCAAUGUGUCCUCGAUGAAAGUCGGGUAAUUGGUAGCAAUACCAAUGCUUUGCACAGGUGCUGCAUGGCUGUCGU
rnacentral:rRNA from 1 species